rnacentral:lncRNA from 1 species
AGGUCCUGGAGGUGUGGCUGAGCUACCUGCAGCCAUGGUGGUAUGCAGCUGACAAGCAGGCUGCCAGCAGCAACUCCCAGCCCCAGUGUGUCUGAGAAAUGUCUCCUGAGCUGUCAUCCAUAACACUGCACAGUUAAGGCUGAGACCGGCUGGACCCUGCCUGCCCUGCAGCCACCAGGCACCAGGCACUGGGUGGAAGACCGCAGUUCGAGCAGCUGUUCCCGGAGCCGGAGCUCGUCAUCCCCCUACCGCCAGCACCGACUCUUCACAGCCUGCACAUUCGCCAGCAGCAUCCUGUCAUAGUGGCCACCAGUGGUCACUGAUGCCUCCUUCAAUGUGAAGAGUCACAUCUAUGGCCUGGAGGGCCAGGACUGCAAGUACACCCGAUGUUCGGGCCCGAGGCUUACACCCUGGUGAGUGGGUUGGCGGUGCCCCUUCACAGGACCCCUGGAGCCACAAGGCUGAGCAGAGGCAGGGAAGUGCUGUGUUCUGGCGGGAGGGAGGGAGGUUGGGCGGAGAGUUGACGCACAUCUCCUUUCCCCGUUUCAGUAAAGUCUGAUUUGUUUCUGAUAACGAAGGCAGUGUUGGGAAAUUUCACAUUUAGAAGAUCAUUCUUUAGUCUUUAAAAGUCCUCCAGCAGAAGCUGCUCCUCCCGUCACUCAGUGAUCUGGCUGUGCACCCAUCUUAGGGCCCCCAGCCAGCCUGCCUGGGUGGCAGUACAGGCGUAUCCUGCCGGUGACCUGCCCUCGCCUCCCUUGCAGGUCCUGCACCUUACUCAGCUCAUCACGCAGGCCAAGCACACGGCCAGGUCCAUCUCGGACCAGUGUGUGGAGACUCCAGCUGGCCACUCCUUCCUGUUGUGGCUGGGCUUUGGCCCCACAGACACCAACGGCUCCUAUUCAGCCAUGACCUGGGCGAGAUGGGGCAGGACAGCGUCCAGAAGAUGGACGAGUGCCUGGAGGAGGCCCUGGCGUACCUGCGCCAGAUAUUCCGAGUAUGAGCAAUGGGGCCUGUUCCACGGCCGUUAGGGUCCCCUUCCCCGAAGGAUCCACUCCCCCUUUGCCCAUGGUCAGCAUGCAUCCGUCCCAGGCCCCAUGCAGAUGAACCCGGUGUUGUGGGAGGCAGGCCCACACCCCGAGUGUCAUGUCCGGGUGCUCUCGUUGCCACUGUUAGAGGCUGGUGGGGUGAAGACUGGUGUUCCUUUGCCUUGACACUGAGGGCAGAGGAGCUUCUCUCUCUCUGGUAGCUCAGUGAAGUGCAGCUCACGCAGAGUCUCUCACACUUGCCUUGGACACCAUCCAGGAUGAGAAUGGAAAGAAGCAGCUCCGGACUGCAUCGCGGGUGAGGACAGACUCAUCCCCACGCCCCUGGGCCAGUACCAGGUGAG